GAUGAAGAACGUAGUGAAAUGCGAUAAGUAAUGUGAAUUGCAGAAUUCAGUGAAUCAUCGAGUCUUUGAACGCACAUUGCGCCCCCUGGUAUUCCGGGGGGCAUGCCUGUCCGAGCGUCAUUGCUGCCCUCAAGCACGGCUUGUGUGUUGGGCUCCGUCCCCCCGGGGACGGGCCCGAAAGGCAGCGGCGGCACCGAGUCCGGUCCUCGAGCGUAUGGGGCUUUGUCACCCGCUCUGUAGGCCCGGCCGGCGCCAGCCGACAACCCAUCAUCCUUUUCAGGUUGACCUCGGAUCAGGUAGGGAUACCCGCUGAACUUAAGCAUAUCAAUAAGCGGAGGA
rnacentral:misc_RNA from 1 species